AGAUACAGGGGUGGCUGGAACGGAGGAGACAUGCAACUGCUAUUUGGUGCUGAACGUCAGUCCCUGUCGUCAGGAGGGUCGCUCGUCUUUAUGGCUGCUGGUUUUCGGAUGAAUGUGUCUCGGGGGAAGAACAGAGCGGGUGGCCAAGCAGCACCUCCGCCAGCGCAAGCUGUUCACCAUUCUUCAUAUAACAUCAUCAAAGUCGGUGAAAACAAGGCCCAUCAUUAGAACAGAGACAAAAACGCUGUGCCAUGAUGAAGAUGCUGGGAGGCGAUGACAGCACGAGAGCCACAAAGGCCUGUCGGAGACAAGAAGGUGGAAAAUAACUCACUGGCUUUAUGGCUCAAUCACAUAUAAUCAGUUUGUCCACAUCAGGACACUGCAGGCUCAGCUCCCAGGCCCGAGGGAGAAAAAAAUGACCUUUCUCCCCAAUACAUACAUUUGAGCAUGUUAUAUACAGAUAAAGGGAGUUUGAGCCACAUUUUCUUCUCAUUAUUCCUCUAUUAUUAAAUAAUGUAAACAACUGAAAAAAAGUGUUAUUUCAGUUUAUAUAAUGUCCUUGUUUAUUUUUUGUCAGAUAUUUGGCAGGUUAUCAUUGGAAAUGCUUCUUCUGCGCGCUCUUUGUAUUUUGAAACCAUUAUGCAGACCAAUGGUAAACCACAUUUCAUCAGAGUUUGUAAUCUCUCUCUCUUACGUUCGUCACAAACGACCAGGCAGGAAGCCGCUUCAGUAGAGGAAACUGGGAGGAAAGUCAGAAAAAACACCACAACAGUUUGGUUCAGUUGUAUAAAACUGACAGAGACAAAUUAGAGCUUAAAAAUUAACUAUAUAAUAUUUUCACUGGUUAGGUUACAUUCGAGUAAAACACUUAAAGGACAAAUAUCCCACAUGAACAGAAAGCAGAUGUGCCUGCUGAUAUCCAUAGAUUGAUUAAUUAAAUAUAAAUUUUCCUCCAAAUGUUCCUUCUGCAGGAUUUUUAUCCAUGAAAAUUAGCUGCAGUGGUGAGUAAUUUUUUUUCUCAGUGCCUGAGCCAAAUGAAUAUUAGAUUGUAUUUCAGAAAUUUACACUCCCUUUCUACUACUUGAAAAACUUGAAAUGUUGUGGAAAAAGCUAAACGGUGGACAGACUUUAGGAUUAAUUGGGGUCUAACAGAUGGAGUUCAGACAACUGCAAUACUGGAGUAUGAAUACAUUUUAUCACCUCUUUUAACCACAACACGGGUAUAAAUUUAAUAAUGAUAAUCACUUACAAUGACCACAAAAAAGACCCAUGUGUGAAAAACACAUUUUUAAUUGUACU